rnacentral:tRNA from 1 species
GGAGGGAUGCCCGAGUGGUUAAAGGGGGGGACGGACUGUAAAUCCGUUGGCUAUGCCUACGUUGGUUCAAAUCCAACUCCCUCCA